rnacentral:rRNA from 1 species
GUAGGGAAUAUUGGGCAAUGGAUGCAAGUCUGACCCAGCCAUCCCGCGUGCCGGAAGAAGGCCCUCAGGGUUGUAAACGGCUUUUGACGGUGAAGAAUCGACAGGAUGCGUCCUGUUUUGACGGUAGCCGUUGAAUAAGCACCGGCUAACUCCGUGCCAGCAGCCGCGGUAAUAUGGAGGGUGCGAGCGUUGUCCGGAUUUAUUGGGUUUAAAGGGUGCGUAGGCUGGAAGGUCAGUCAGCGGUGAAAAGCUGUCGGUUAACGAUAGUCUUGCCGCAGAAACUUCCGUUAUUGGAUGAGGAGGAGGCCACUGGAACGGAUGGUGUAGCGGUGAAAUGCAUAGAUAACGUCCAGAAAACCGAUUGCGAAGGCAGGUGGCUGUACCUUAAUCGACGCUGAUGCACGGAAACAUGGGGAGCAAACAGGAUUAGAAACCCCAGUAGUCC